AGUUUGAUCAUGGCUCAGGACGAACGCUGGCGGCGUGCCUAAUACAUGCAAGUCGAACGCUUUUUCUUUCACCGGAGCUUGCUCCACCGAAAGAAAAGGAGUGGCGAACGGGUGAGUAACACGUGGGUAACCUGCCCAUCAGAAGGGGAUAACACUUGGAAACAGGUGCUAAUACCGUAUAACAAUCGAAACCGCAUGGUUUCGGUUUGAAAGGCGCUUUUGCGUCACUGAUGGAUGGACCCGCGGUGCAUUAGCUAGUUGGUGAGGUAACGGCUCACCAAGGCAACGAUGCAUAGCCGACCUGAGAGGGUGAUCGGCCACAUUGGGACUGAGACACGGCCCAAACUCCUACGGGAGGCAGCAGUAGGGAAUCUUCGGCAAUGGACGCAAGUCUGACCGAGCAACGCCGCGUGAGUGAAGAAGGUUUUCGGAUCGUAAAACUCUGUUGUUAGAGAAGAACAAGGAUGAGAGUAGAAUGUUCAUCCCUUGACGGUAUCUAACCAGAAAGCCACGGCUAACUACGUGCCAGCAGCCGCGGUAAUACGUAGGUGGCAAGCGUUGUCCGGAUUUAUUGGGCGUAAAGCGAGCGCAGGCGGUUUCUUAAGUCUGAUGUGAAAGCCCCCGGCUCAACCGGGGAGGGUCAUUGGAAACUGGGAAACUUGAGUGCAGAAGAGGAGAGUGGAAUUCCAUGUGUAGCGGUGAAAUGCGUAGAUAUAUGGAGGAACACCAGUGGCGAAGGCGGCUCUCUGGUCUGUAACUGACGCUGAGGCUCGAAAGCGUGGGGAGCAAACAGGAUUAGAUACCCUGGUAGUCCACGCCGUAAACGAUGAGUGCUAAGUGUUGGAGGGUUUCCGCCCUUCAGUGCUGCAGCUAACGCAUUAAGCACUCCGCCUGGGGAGUACGACCGCAAGGUUGAAACUCAAAGGAAUUGACGGGGGCCCGCACAAGCGGUGGAGCAUGUGGUUUAAUUCGAAGCAACGCGAAGAACCUUACCAGGUCUUGACAUCCUUUGACCACUCUAGAGAUAGAGCUUCCCCUUCGGGGGCAAAGUGACAGGUGGUGCAUGGUUGUCGUCAGCUCGUGUCGUGAGAUGUUGGGUUAAGUCCCGCAACGAGCGCAACCCUUAUUGUUAGUUGCCAUCAUUUAGUUGGGCACUCUAGCGAGACUGCC
rnacentral:rRNA from 1 species